rnacentral:SRP_RNA from 1 species
GCUGGGCAUAGUGGCGCGCCCCUGUAAUCCCAGCUACUCAGGAGGCUGAGGCAGGAGAAUUGCCUGAACCCAGGAGGCGGAGGUUGUGGUGAGCCAAGAUCGUGCCAUUGCACUCCAGCCUGGGUAACAAGCGCGAAACUCCAUCUCAAAAAAAAAACAAAGAAAGUGAUUCUUGCAUGUUUUUUGUGUGUUUUUUUGAGAUGGAGUCUCGCUCUGUUGCCCAGGCUGGAGUUCAGUGGCACAAUCUUGGCUCACUGCAACCUCCGCCUCCCGGAUUCAAGGAAUUCUUCUGCCUCAG